rnacentral:rRNA from 1 species
UGGGGAAUCUUGCACAAUGGAGGAAACUCUGAUGCAGCGAUGCCGCGUGAGUGAAGAAGGCCUUUGGGUUGUAAAGCUCUUUUGUAGGGGAAGAUAAUGACUGUACCCUAAGAAUAAGGUCCGGCUAACUUCGUGCCAGCAGCCGCGGUAAUACGAAGGGACCUAGCGUAGUUCGGAAUUACUGGGCGUAAAGCGCGCGUAGGCCGUUGAGUUAGUUAAUUGUGAAAUCCCAAAGCUUAACUUUGGAAC